rnacentral:rRNA from 1 species
ACAAUGGAGAGUUUGAUCCUGGCUCAGGAUUAACGCUAGCGGCAGGCCUAAUACAUGCAAGUCGAACGGGAUUCAGGGUAGCAAUAUCUUGAUGAGAGUGGCGCACGGGUGCGUAACACGUAUGCAACCUGCCUCUUACUGGGGAAUAGCCCACCGAAAGGUGGAUUAAUACCGCAUUAUAUUCUGAAAAGGCAUCUUUUUAGAAUUAAACCUCCGGGGGUAAGAGAUGGGCAUGCGUCCGAUUAGCUCGUUGGCGGGGUAACGGCCCACCAAGGCUACGAUCGGUAGGGGGUCUGAGAGGAUGAUCCCCCACACUGGUACUGAGACACGGACCAGACUCCUACGGGAGGCAGCAGUAAGGAAUAUUGGACAAUGGGCGCAAGCCUGAUCCAGCCAUGCCGCGUGCAGGAUGAAGGACCUAUGGUUCGUAAACUGCUUUUAUACGGGACAAAACCCCCGAUCGUGCAUCGGGGUUGAUGGUACUGUAAGAAUAAGGGUCGGCUAACUUCGUGCCAGCAGCCGCGGUAAUACGAAGGACCCAAGCGUUAUCCGGAUUUAUUGGGUUUAAAGGGUGCGUAGGCGGAUUAGUAAGUCAGUGGUGAAAGCCCAUCGCUCAACGGUGGAACUGCCAUUGAUACUGCUAGUCUUGAGUAUGGUUGAGGUGGGCGGAAUGUGUCAUGUAGCGGUGAAAUGCUUAGAUAUGACACAGAACACCAAUUGCGAAGGCAGCUCGCUAAGCCAUAACUGACGCUGAGGCACGAAAGCGUGGGGAGCAAACAGGAUUAGAUACCCUGGUAGUCCACGCCCUAAACGAUGAUAACUCGAUGUUGGCGAUACACAGUCAGCGUCUAAGCGAAAGCAUUAAGUUAUCCACCUGGGAAGUACGACCGCAAGGUUGAAACUCAAAGGAAUUGACGGGGGCCCGCACAAGCGGAGGAGCAUGUGGUUUAAUUCGAUGAUACGCGAGGAACCUUACCUGGGCUUGAAAGUU